rnacentral:miRNA from 17 species
AACAAUAUCCUGAUGCUGACAGAGU